AUGAGUAUACCUGAUGGCAUCAAUAUCCCCGAUGGUAAGUUCUACCUACGAGAUGCCGGCUAUGCAUGCCAGGGUGUUCUUCCACCCUUCAGGAAAACCAAGUACCAUCUGAAUGAGUUCGCUAGUAGGAACUAUCCUAGGACUCCACAUGUACUGUUUAAUCUUAGACACUCUAGCCUUAGAGUUACGGGUGAGAGGGCAUUUGGAGCUCUGAAGAAUAGGUUUAAGAUCCUGGAUCAGAAGUCAUUCCACAUUUUCUCCACCCAGGUUAAGCUUGUUCUUACUUGUUGUAUUCUACAUAACUAGAUCCUGCAAUGGGGUUAUGAUGAACGGGUGCCGAAGGAGGAAUAGGUGACGCCUGACGAUGUUGUCAACUCUGUCCAUGGUGUGGAGGCAUUUGAGAACGAAGCUUGUAAGAACAAAAGGAUGAAGUGGGCACAAGCAAUGUGGGAUUAUAGUCGGCAGACAAGGAUCUGA
rnacentral:rRNA from 1 species